rnacentral:tRNA from 1 species
AGACAUUGAGAUAUCUUAUAACAAAAAUUGCUAUAUUAGUAUAAUUUAUCUUAAUCAGCUAUAAAAGUACUUUAAA